rnacentral:rRNA from 1 species
CACCGCCCGUCACAUCACGAAAGUGGGUUGUACUAGAAGUUCGCGCGCUAACCCGCAAGGGAGGCAGCGGCCCAAGGUAUGACUCAUGAUUGGGGUG